rnacentral:rRNA from 1 species
GACGAACGCUGGCGGCGUGCUUAACACAUGCAAGUCGAACGGAAAGGCCCUGCUUUUGUGGGGUGCUCGAGUGGCGAACGGGUGAGUAACACGUGAGUAACCUGCCCUUGACUUUGGGAUAACUUCAGGAAACUGGGGCUAAUACCGGAUAGGAGCUCCUGCUGCAUGGUGGGGGUUGGAACGUUUCGGCGGUUGGGGAUGGACUCGCGGCUUAUCAGCUUGUUAGUGGGGUAGUGGCUUACCAAGGCUUUGACGGGUAGCCGGCAUGAGAGGGUGACCGGGGACAAUGGGACUGCGAGACGGACCAGAGGGCUACGGGAGGCAGCAGUGGGGAACAUUGCACAAUGGGCGGAAGCCUGAUGCAGAAACGCCGCGGGCGGAAUGACGGCCUGCGGGUUGUAAACAGCUUUCGCCUGAGACGAAGCGGGAGUGACGGUAAUGGGUAAAGAAGCACCGGCUAACUACGUG